AUAGAGAGGAAGAAAAUACCUAUCGGAGCCUCUCCGAUGGAGCUUCAAAAAAAGUUUUGUAGCAGCAAAGCAAAAUAUCACAAAAAUGGACUGGUUUGUGUUGAAACAAUGUUGGAGAAAAUGAACAGCAUUGAGACUAUUUUCUACUGCUGUUUUUGGACAGAAAAAUACCCAAGAAUGUGA